rnacentral:lncRNA from 1 species
AUGAAACUAAUUUAGUAUUAUAAAUAUUACUAUAUUUGUCUAUAAACUUAGUCAAAUUUGAGAUAGUUUAACUUUGACCAAAGUCAAAAACAUCUUACAACAUGAAAUGGAGAGAGUACGUAUAUAUGAAGAAUUGAAGAGCAUGUAUAGUGGGUCUAGCCAAUAGUAGGAGGGGCUCAAGCCCACCUCCCCCCCCCCCCCCCUGUUGGGAUCGCCAUUGGACCUCGAGUGGUAAAUCAAACAAGAUCACUGAUCUAGAUGAACAAUUUACAAAAUAAUGUAACUAAGUGGCACCUAGAUCCAAGUUUAUAGGCCAUCAACAAAGUUUACUCUUUUCUUUAUAGAAUUGGUAUGUCCUAAUACUGCUUCAGUGGAGUUACUGGAUUGUUUCGAUCGCAUAGUACAUAAAAUUAGACUGUAUACUACUACUAGAUAGAUUUAUGGAGAAUAAUUUUGUGACGUGAUAAAGCUGUUUGAUAGAACUUUAGUUUCACUAGAGUCGGAUCCUUGUCCGUUUUGUAGUCAUCUGCUAACUGGCAAACUGUGUGAUUUUUUAAUGUCUCACCACCGUCUGGAGCACUUGUUACUGUGAACCUGUGGUAUACUCCCCCUGUUAAAAAAAUCAAACUUAUUCCUAUAAUUUAUUUUUUAUUAAUUAUUAUAAAUAAAAAUUCGGUAACAGAAUGCCAUCUGACCUCAUCUAUAGCAAGUCAAUAACUAUCCUCCGACCUUUGAUCCUAGGAAUCCGGCAAAGGCUACAGACGGGACUGUUCUAGUUAUACCUAGCAGCUGAACAUGCCCAAUAUUGAUAUGGACAUGUGGCAUCAUUGGUAUCCUUCUCUUUCCCACCUCUGUUGUGAAACACACACAAAGCGCAUGAAGGUGUCAAAGGAGAAGAGAGCUGGUAGCAAAACUUGGUACACCAAUGUUUAGAAAGCACAUGAAGGCAUUGGCGCAGGUCGGGAAUAGUGAAGCACAACAAUGGCUGGGAGGGGAGGAGGAUGUGGUCGGGGUGAUAGGGUCGGAAGCUCGAAGCAACGAUGGUGGCAACAGUGUUCUGCAGGGGAAAGGAAAAAUAGAAAAUGAUUGGUUUUUUCGAGACGAGAGAAUAUUUGGCCCCGGUUGGUAGCUUGACACAAUUGACGGGUACAACCACAUUUUCAUGGGCCGCCCCAACAGGAUCUAGAUUUGUUCUUAUCCCUCUAGCGAUUAGUAAUCCAAAAAGCCCAACGGGCUAAAGCAAAUCCCAUCCUCCAGCCUACAAAACCGCCUUCUCCCUUGACGUCAUUUCAAAUAAUGUCUUCAUGCUGAUUUGUAUUGCUAUGAAAAUUUAUAAUCUUAUUUGGCAUUCUAAAUAAUUUUAAAUAAAAAAAGUCAUAGACUACAAGUUAUCGAUCUUAUUGAACUCUACAACUUUAAAAUAGAGUUUAUCUCCAUCGGAGGACUUUGAAAUGUAGAUAUAAUAUUUUGUAAAAAUAGAUUUAAGAUUUUGUAACGAAUGUUUGAAACCCCUAAAUGAUCUUAAAUAAAAAAAAUUGUAUGUCUCGUCGAGCUCUAUAGUUUUGAUAUAAGUUUGAUUUCAUCCGAUUUCAUAUUAUGGGUCUGUUUGGCACAGCUCCAGCUCCAGCUAGCUCCACCCCCCUUGGAGCUAGAGCUCAGCCAAACAGUUUCAGCUCCACCAAAACUGGGAGUGGAGCUGGGUGGAGUCCUCUCACAAAAUGUACUAGAGUUGUGGAGUUGGGUUUAGGCAGCUCCACAACUCCACUCCAAACCCAAUUCCUGGAGCUAAAUUUAGGAGUUGGAGAUGUACCAAGCAUGCCCUAUAUAUUUGAAAAUUGUGAAAAUAUAGAGGUGACAAGCUAUGCGGGAAAAUUUGCUUUCAGCCACUUCUCUUAUAAGAGGGCGCACAGCUUUUUUAUAUUAAUUAAAAAAGUGCCCUCCGAGAGGGCAGGAGGAGCCUCUCCUCCAAACCCUGUAUGCGCUCUCUAGUAGCGUGAAUGCACACUUCUUUCCUUGAACAAGCUGCCCCAUUGUCUUUAUGAGCAAACAUCUAUGCAACAAAAUAAACAUAGUAUAUGGUAUAAGAAAUGAGCUCGAUUAGGACCCUAUAUAUGUAUUUUUCUAUAUAUAUAUAUAUAUAUAUAUAUAUAUAGAAAUUAAGUUGUAAAGGGGGAUUGGAAAUACUAGUACUUGUGAGGUGGUAUAUAUAAAAGGUAAAAAAUGUCCAUGAUAUCGAUAUCUAUAACUAAUAUAAAUAUUUGGAUUUUUCCGGUCGUCACCUAAUACUUCCGAUCGAUUUUUUUCGUCUGUCGUCCGUGUUUGAAUCCGAGACCGUCUUGAAAAAAAAAAUUCCUGAGCGGACUCGAAAGAAGCCGAAAAAAAAUAAAAAAACAAAUUUAAUCAAUCGGCAUUGGAGUGAAAAUAAAAGAAGCCGACUCGAUCAAUCGGCUAAUCGAGUCGAUUGCUCCCAAUCCCAUUGCCCCCAAUUCCCAAAAUACAUGAAUCACAAAAUUACUCAAUUGCAAUCCCAAAUCAAAAUAAAAAAUCUCCACAAAAUCAACAUCCCAAAUCAAACCGCCGUCGUACUGUGGUUACUAUAUCAACAUUCCAAAUCACAAAAUCCUCAAAAUAUUCACAAAUCAAAAAAACAAAAUCCUCAAAAUAUUCACAAAUCAAAAAUCGAACCACCGUCGGCUCCACGUCGGGGAGGUGAGGGGCAGCCAGGGGGGCGGGGAGUUACUGCCAACACACAAGGAGGGAAGCAGCCGCCGGCCGCCACUCCGGGUAGGGGGAGCAGCAGCCAUCGGAUAACUGUGAGAGGAGCCGCUGCCCUCGAAUCCGCCGCGGGAGGAGCUGCUGCCACCCGAUCCACUCUCAGCCGGCGCCGCUGCCGCCAGAUCCACACGCGGUCGCCGUCCCCGUCGUCAGAUCCGCUUGGGAGGGAGGCGAGAGGGGGCAGAGGGAGCCGCCGCCGGAUCCGUCCUCAUCCGCUGCCACCGCUGCCAGAUCCACCCGCGGCCGCCGCCGACGCCGCCAUCGAUGCCGGAUCUACCGCGGGAGGGAGGCGAGAUGGAGAGAAGGAGAUGGCGAGCGAUGCGAAUCCAUCCGUGGCUCGCUCGGCCUCCCCGUCUCCGACCACUCUCUCCGCCUCAAGCUGCUCGCCUCCGAAUACCACCGCCGCCUCCACGUCUUCGCCCUCUAGGAGGACCUCCGUGGUGAUGGCAUCGUGGAUCUGGCCGGCAACUCGAGGGAAAAAGAAGGCCGGCGACGAUGUUGUGGAUAGGCCGUCGACGAUGUGGUGGAUCGGCCGGCAACGUUGAGGGAGAGGAAUAAACAGAGAAAGUGAGGACGGAGAGAGGCGGAGAAAGACGGGAAGAGAGAGGAAAAAAGAGGGAGCGACUGUCUAGAUAUUUUUACUGGUCGUACAUAGUGUACGUGCUU